rnacentral:lncRNA from 1 species
AACGAACCGCCCUUGCUGUCUCUGCCUGGCCGGUUUCCCCUCUUUCCACUGGGAUUCUCUGCCUCUGUAACAGGGUUGGUUAUGUUUCCACUUGCCUCUAAAGAAAUGUGUACUUAAUGUUCAAGCAUUCGUAUUGGUUGGUUCAACUGAUGACAAUAAGGUGUGUUGUGAUUGGCCCCGCUUGCAGAUAGGGGGAGAUCGCGAACGUCAGGUCUUCCCAGUAUGAAAAUGUGAUGCAAGGGCUUUUGCCAUCGACAGCCAUCAGUAUCAUUAAGCCCUGCACAACUACCGUGCUGUUUCUCAUUUAACAACAGGAAUAAAUGAUGCUCAACUGGGACCACUGGCUGAUGUGAUUUAUUAGGAAAAAAACACAACGCAAGGAGAGUACGCUAUACAUCU